CCCUUAGACGUUCUGGGCCGCACGCGCGCUACACUGACAAAGGCAACGAGCUACUCUUCACCGAAAGGUGUGGGUAAUCUUUUGAAACUUUGUCGUGCUGGGGAUAGAUCCUUGCAAUUUUUGAUCUUAAACGAGGAAUUCCUAGUAAGCGCAAGUCAUCAACUUGCGUUGAUUACGUCCCUGCCCUUUGUACACACCGCCCGUCGCUACUACCGAUUGAAUGGUUUGGUGAGGCCUUCGGAUCCGCGACUCGUUUGUGGAGAAGUUGGACAAACUCAGUCAUUUAGAGGAAGUAAAAGUCGUAACA
rnacentral:rRNA from 1 species